UACGAAGGGUGCAAGCGUUACUCGGAAUUACUGGGCGUAAAGCGUGCGUAGGCGGUUUGUUAAGUCUGAUGUGAAAGCCCCGGGCUCAACCUGGGAAUGGCAUUGGAUACUGGCAACCUGGAGUGUGGUAGAGGGUGGCGGAAUUCCCGGUGUAGCAGUGAAAUGCGUAGAUAUCGGGAGGAACAUCCGUGGCGAAGGCGGCCACCUGGACCAACACUGACGCUGAGGCACGAAAGCGUGGGGAGCAAACAGG
rnacentral:rRNA from 1 species